ACCUUGGUUCAGCUCAGCUGGUAUGGGCAUGGUGCUGAUGAUGCCAAUUUUUCAGGUUCAAUCCCUGUAUUGGGACA